UUCGGAUUGAAGGCUGAAAUUCGCCUUCAUGAAGCUGGAAUUGCUAGUAAUGGCAGGUCAGCAUACUGCCGUGAAUACGUUCCCGGGCCUUGUACACACCGCCCGUCACACCAUGAGAGUUGGGAAUACCCGAAGCCUGUGAGCUAACUUAUAGAGGCAGCAGUCGAAGGUAGAAUCAAUGAUUGGGGUGAAGUCGUAACAAGGUAGC
rnacentral:rRNA from 1 species